rnacentral:rRNA from 1 species
UACGUAGGAGGCAAGCGUUGUCCGGAAUCACUGGGCGUAAGAGCGUGUAGGCGGUCUGCCAAGUCUGUUGUGAAGCGCCUGGCUUAACUGGCGAGGUCGACGGAAACUGGCAACUGGAGGCCGGUAGAGGAGGGUGGAAUUCCGGUGUAGUGGUGAAAUGCGUAGAGAUCGGGAGGAACACCUGCGGUGUAGACGGCUUUCUGGACCAUUGUUGACGCUGAGACACGAAAGCGUGGGUAGCAAACAGG